AUUGAACGCUGGCGGCAUGCCUUACACAUGCAAGUCGAACGGUAACAGGUCUUCGGAUGCUGACGAGUGGCGAACGGGUGAGUAAUACAUCGGAACGUGCCUAGUAGUGGGGGAUAACUACUCGAAAGAGUGGCUAAUACCGCAUGAGAUCUACGGAUGAAAGCAGGGGGUCGCAAGACCUUGUGCUACGAGAGCGGCCGAUGGCAGAUUAGGUAGUUGGUGGGAUAAAAGCUUACCAAGCCGACGAUCUGUAGCUGGUCUGAGAGGACGAUCAGCCACACUGGGACUGAGACACGGCCCAGACUCCUACGGGAGGCAGCAGUGGGGAAUUUUGGACAAUGGGCGAAAGCCUGAUCCAGCAAUGCCGCGUGCAGGAUGAAGGCCUUCGGGUUGUAAACUGCUUUUGUACGGAACGAAAAGCCCCGGGUUAAUACCCUGGGGUCAUGACGGUACCGUAAGAAUAAGCACCGGCUAACUACGUACCAGCCGCCGCAGUAA
rnacentral:rRNA from 1 species